rnacentral:ncRNA from 1 species
ACAAUAGAGGUGCAGAAGGCAGGGUAAUCGGUUUCGGGACUGCAGGGGGUCCGGAGGAGGCCGGUGAAGGGGUCUUUUGCCGAAGGUGCGUGCGUUUCCUGCGGCACGUGCCUGGGGGUGCGGUGUAAGCGGCACAACUGUCAUGUCCUUUAUCAGACAUGGAGCGCUAUUGGU